GUUGAACGCUGGCGGCGUGCCUAAUACAUGCAAGUCGAGCGAACGGACGAGACUUUUGCUUUUCUGAUGUUAGCGGCGGAUGGGUGAGUAACACGUGGCUAACCUACCUAUAAGACUGGGAUAACUUCGGGAAACCGGAUCUAAUAUCGGAUAAUAUUUUGAACGUCAUGGUUCAAAAGAGAAAGCCGGUCUUGCUGUCCCUUAUAGAUGGAUCCGCGCUGCAUUAGCUAGUUGGUACGGUAACGGCUUACCAAGGCAACGAUGCAUAGCCGACCUGAGAGGAUGAUCAGCCACACUGGAACUGAGACACGGUCCAGACUCCUACGGGAGGCAGCAGUAGGGAAUCUUCGGCAAUGGGCGAAAGCCUGACGGAGCAACGCCGCGUGAGUGAAGAAGGUCUUCGGAUCGUAAAGCUCUGUUAGUAGGGAAGAACAUAUGUGUGUGUAUCUGUGCACGUCUUGACGGUACCUAAUCAAAAAGCCACGGCUAACUACGUG
rnacentral:rRNA from 1 species